AUUGAACGCUGGCGGCAUGCCUUACACAUGCAAGUCGAACGGCAGCACGGGUGCUUGCACCUGGUGGCGAGUGGCGAACGGGUGAGUAAUACAUCGGAACAUGUCCUGUAGUGGGGGAUAGCCCGGCGAAAGCCGGAUUAAUACCGCAUACGAUCUACGGAUGACAGCGGGGGACCUUCGGGCCUCGCGCUAUAGGGUUGGCCGAUGGCUGAUUAGCUAGUUGGUGGGGUAAAGGCCUACCAAGGCGACGAUCAGUAGCUGGUCUGGGAGGACGACCAGCCACACUGGGACUGAGACACGGCCCAGACUCCUACGGGAGGCAGCAGUGGGGAAUUUUGGACAAUGGGCGAAAGCCUGAUCCAGCAAUGCCGCGUGUGUGAAGAAGGCCUUCGGGUUGUAAAGCACUUUCGUCCGGAAAGAAAUCCUUGGCCCUAAUACGGUCGGGGGAUGACGGUACCGGAAGAAUAAGCACCGGCUAACUACGUG
rnacentral:rRNA from 1 species